GGUUGAAGUUGCACUGGGGAGGCACAACAUACCCCGAAAGAUGAAAGAGCCAAUCCUGGAUGACUACAGCGAGUUUCAGUUGAGAGUCUCUUCUGGCCAAACAACAGCGGACUGGCACUGGCUGGAGGUGUGGGUAGUCACUGGUUGUACCAUCUUGGGGACCCUCUUUUCACUGGCAAUAAACAUGUUGGUUAAGUCGGCGGAAUCGUAGCACUGAGGACCUUUCAGCAAGUCAGGAGUGCAUCAACCACCCAUCAGAGCCUUCAAGGACAACCUGUGACAAUGACUGCAGUGCCAGGUGGAUCCACCAGAGGCUAGAAGAACUUAUUCCACAGGCACACUAUUCCAGCAAAGCCUAUCGAACCCUGGGCAUCACAGGCCUGAGAAGGAGAAUUGUCAUUAACAACAAAGUCGAGGCAGCAGAGAAGGCGUCUAGAUGGCUGUGGCUAAGAAGGGGAGAGCAAUGGGGUCAGUAGCAGUAUGCCCCAUGGACACAGGCCAAGGAUUGGCCUACCUUGAUUGGGUCACCUAGUGGAUGGUGUAUGUUGUAAGACCCAAAACAUUCGUUGAUACCAGGAAACAAAACUGAUGACAUGUCGAAGUUAGAGCAUCAGAGGAUUUAUGACAAACUGGGUCCUUUUUAAAGUAAAUUCACAAAACCUAAAACAGGGACAACGAAAUCCUGAAAAACAUCAAGACAAAAGAUGAAAAAAGUUAAAUUGGAGCAGGUUACUGGCACGACUGGGUAAAAGGGCUGUCCAGAGAGCUUGGGUCUUUCCACAGCAAAGAUGGUGAGUGGCGCACUGCUCUGUGAAUACUGAACACUGUUCCACAGUUCAACAAAGAGACUGCAUCUUUGAUAGCAGUUUUGUUUUUAUUCUGGAUUUUGGCAUACUUUCAAAGCAAUCGAAAAUAUGUGACCAAAAAUCAGACUGCCAACACCAGAAGCAGAACAUCCUACUGUCAACGUUUCAGGACUUGUUUGAGAAUUUCAGAGUGGUGGGGACGUCAGCCCUGGAUUUCCAUUUUACAGGACGUUUCCUUUAUUUAGAUAAAUGCUCCUUGCAGUAACGAUAACCACACAUAAUGUUGUAGUCAGAUGACAGUGAAUGAGAUGUGAUGGUGAUAAAUUGCAGACAUGGAAGGUACUUUCAACAGUGUCUGAAGCCUCGAAGUCAAGCUUUAAAUAGACUGAAGAAGUAGAAAGCAGAAAAUGAAUUGAAGAAAUAACCUUGAGUUGGUAAUCCAUUAAAGAAAAAGACCAAGAGGAGAAAAAAAGAACAACAUCAGUAAUAUUGCCAUCAACCAGGUCAUCAGUCUAGACUGGACAAGUCUUGGUCAUGUUUUAUGAUGGGAGAAAUGCAAGGAGUCAGCAGUUCAAUACUCCUCUUCUUAAGGAUAUAAAACGUCAGUCAGACUGAACACCCUCAGACCUUAAUAACAAAUGUCUAUGGAUCAAUAAUAUAAGUCAUUGACUGGCCUUUCCAUGAACUCUUUCAGAAUAUUUCCUUUUUAAAUAUGAUUCCUUUGCUCCCCAAACAACUCAGCUAGCUUUACUUAGAAAAUCUCCUGAGUUCAAACCAAUAAACUUUAAGUACUCUUACAUUUUUCUAUAUUUAUGAUGGACUUUUUUGAUGAUGAAUUUCUAUGCAGAGCAAAGACCCAGACAUUCUUGAAAGUGAUGUUACAGGACGAGAAAAAACAGAGAUGAUGGGCUUUGGUAUUGCUUUUUAGUGACAGGCUUCAAAACCUGCAGAAACUGGAGUACACUGCUGCUGUCAAGGAUAUUUGUGGGACGCCCCUGUUGGAUAGUGUGUACCACUGUAUUAUCAAAACAUUGUUGCUGUUGAACAUGCUUGAUGUUGACAGGUCAGGCAAUUCAUACCUCAUGGGACAACUCUGUGACAUUUUUCUCAUGGUCAAGUAGAGCUUGGCUUUUGGCUUUGGUGAUGAAAAGAGGCGUGUCCAGAUGUUAUUUUUUUUUUCUGUGGUGGCUCAACUUUGGCACUGAUUCAUGCAUAGGUGGCAUUAGGGCCGGGCGAUAUGGUCUCAAAUCAGUAUUACAAUAUAUUGAGCAGUUCACCUCGAUAGUGAUAAUGGACAAUAACUACUCCACAAGCUGCUAACCCCACCGUCCUCCACCUCCUCACAUGACUUUCCCUCUUUGUUACGGACUGGAUGGGAUGGAGUCAUGUCUAUGAUGUAGAACAGCAUCUUAAAGGGAGAUGAGACCAUAGCCUACCUACACACAUCAAAAAACAACUUUUAUUUAUGUAUUUUUUUGACACCUAAUAUACCGAUAUGGGCAAAAUGACUUCAGUUAUUGUCGGUAUUGUAAAUUUCUGGUUUGUCACCCAGCCCUAGGUGGCAUCAAGUGUCUCUGUCUACUGAAAAGGAACAAAUACAAUCAAAUAAAGAUAUUUUCUCUUUUUAUAAUGCGCUGGUUGAGGUAACGUGAUAGGGAAAGAGUUAUUCAUAAACUUCCAUAGUCUGGGGUAAGGCAGAGUUGAGUUGAUGGUUGUGUUGCUGUUUCUCUGGAGGCUAAAAGAUCACCUCGGCCCUAUCUCUGUACCUGUUGUUAUGGUGAUCUGAAGUUUGGUUGAGGGAACGCUGUCACUUUUACUGUUCUUUAACGUUUGUUUGCACAUUAAGAGAAUGCUGUAUUAUUUAUGUUCUUCCUUUAUCGGCUGAGGUUUUGUUAACUACCUGGCUUACUUGCAUUUGUGCUAUUCACCUUCUGGUUCAAAGCCUGGCAUGAUUGAGCAGUAUACAUGGAAGGGAAAAUGGAUACUAAUGACUAUGAGAAGUUCAGUUCAGUGGGAUUUUAGUUGGACUGAUGUGUUACAUGUUUUUCCCAGUUCCAGUCAGACUCAAUAAUUUGAACAACAUGGAAACAUAUUGAAUUAUUGUUUAAAAUUUGGGGUGGCCCAUCCUAAGGGGGACUUUUCCACCCCUGGCUGACCCUUUGGACACUACCCUGGUUGUGGCCUCUUUCUUCUCUUUCUACUGCAACUUCUUUGCACCAAGGGUUCAAACUAGUGAUGUGAAAUAUCCAACUCUGGCAUUACACUGAUAAAGUUUCCUGCAUAUUUUGAGCAGUAUUUUCUGACAGCCUAAUUACGAGGAGUUACGCAUCUUUUGAUCUGUCUGUCAAGAAGGUUUGCAAAAACUAGAAAAUAAAAUUUGCAACAUAAGCUGCUGGGAAGCUGACCUAUAGAGAGCAAACUUUUGGCAGGGGGGUCAAUGUAAGAUUUGGAACAUUUUUAAAAUCCUAAUUAAUCCUAAAAACACGAUGGCAUAGUUUCAGAAUUAAUGAUGCUGUAAAGAAAUGCCCAUUUCUGACAUCUCUUUGGAGAGCAUAUUUGUGAAAAACACCUGCAUACAACAAAGAGUGGAACUAUUUUAUGUUUUGCUUUUGCUGUUUUAUGUGUCUUCACUGAACAAAAAGACACUGCUACAUGAAAGCAGGUAAGACACAAGGGCUGACAAAGGCUGAGGGUGAAUUGGUGUCGCGCUUUUCUGUUCAGAGGACAAGAGACUGAUGCAGAGUAAAGGCUACCACCACCUAGAGAAGGAGGGGGGCACUGUCUGGCUAUAAGAAACGGAAAGAUAUUUGGUGAGAGAGAGAGAGAGGAAGUGAGAGAGGGAGAGAGAGAAAGAGAAAGACUGAGAGAAGUUCAGCACCAAGGACAGCGCACCGGAGCGCUGGAGAGAAGAAAUCAGUUCAGUGCACUGGAGCUGCGCGCAGUCAUGCCUCCCUGAACUAGUGGAGACUGUACUGUACCCGACAGUCGCACCCAGUCAGUGUCGCCCUGUGCAAGUGGGAAAGUGGGAGCUCCGCCUGUUGUUGUUGUUUUUAUUUUUUUUAUAAUCCAGGAUCGCUGAACAAGGAGUCAAGAUCGCCGCAGAGAGAAGUGCGUUGCUCUUGCAAACACAGACCAGCGUGUUAGUCAGCGCGAUCCUUACAUCAUCUCUUUAUUGGGGAGAGAGAGAGAGAAAGGGUGAGAGAGACAUAGGGGGAGAGUGAGAGAGAAAGGGAAAGCAAGAGAGAGGGAGAGAGAGAGAGCGAAAGAGGGAGUCCGUGCAGCCAGGCUCCUCUUGCCAGUCCUCUGCUGAGAAGCAAGUGUGACGGACCGACUGGCGUUACCUCCUCCCUGCUUUUUUUCCCCCCUCUGAGUGUUUCCUCUCUCUCUCUCCCAUCGUGCUGCGUCCACACUGGCCGUGAAGAUGCACCGGCACCGUCCUGCCCGGGGAUUGACGUUGUUAUUGCCGGUCGCUUUGUGGAUUUUCAGCCAUGGCAGCGGUGUGCACGGAGCUUUGCCAACAACCCGUAAGUUUUCCCUUUUUCGUUUAAUUUCUGGAUGUGUCUCCCGGCGUUGACUGGGUGACUCUGGAUGUGGGUGAAAGGCUGGAUGGAGCCUGUCUGAGGCGGGGAUGGUGCUGCAGGUAUCCCCACGGUGGUGUCAGCCUGGAGCCCUACGGAGCUCCAAAAGCCAGGCUCCACAUGAGAGAGAGAGAGGCGGGGGUUACCCUCUGAGUUUAGACCCACAUGUGCUCACUCCCUAGGAUCUCUGCGUCUUAGAUAUUGGUGCCAGUUUGGUUAUUUUGAUCAGGGUAUCCAGCGUUUUAUAUGCGUUUUUUGGCAUCCCUUGGACUAAAAUCGUGAGGGACCUUUGGGGACUUUAAGGACUGGACUGUAUUCGUCCAGAAUAUGACAACAACAUAAAAAGUAUCCAUCAAUCUACACAAGUUUUCAGACUUUUUGGGGAGCUUCAAAUCUGUUAGCAGAGAAACAUUUGAUAUAUCAUAUUGAGACUAUUCUUGAGUAGUCAUAAAGGUUGAUGACAAGUUUUGUAUGAUAGUUAAAGUUUGAUAAUUUCUUUAAACUUUUAACACACCAGAGUUUCUUCCAUGGAUAAGUUUAAAACCUGAAGACCAUACUCAAUUGAUUAAAAGUGAGACUCCAAAUACCAGACAAUAAUAAAUGAGUUUAUCCUUUGGUUUAUUUGUUUGUUUGUUUUUGGCUUCCUUAUAACAGCUUGCAGUGUGAGCAUCUACAAUCUGUUCAGGCUUCAGAUCCCCUCUCAUUUCUUUGUAUCUAGCACCUUCUUGGUUGAUAAUUUAUGAUUGUUUACUCUUGUCAACACUCAAGACUCGUGAAAUUAUCUAGUUUUAUCCACAUUCCUUCACCACGUUGAAGGAUUUUUGGCCCUGUCCAUCUUAAAGGAGACACCUCUGUUCCGGCUCAGUCUUCUGGAAUCAUCCACGCUCAGCUCGGCUCGCUGUUGUUCUCGGUGUCGCUGACGGUGUGACUGAUUCCCCCGGUGAUCGCCGGGGCUUCUCGGGUCCCGGAUGAAUGUGUCCGGGGACGCGCCUCAUUAAUCAUCCCGCCCGACAGAGGGACGGAGAGAGACGGCACCGCGAGCCGUUUGCGCGUGCGUUUGCGCGUGCGUGCCUCUGCCACGGAUGUGCCAGCGUGCGCGCAGACAUUGUCAGCGGAGUAAAGUUAUAUGUCAUAAGAGCCAGCUUACAGUUAAUAGACGCUAUAGCGAUGAGACUUAAUUUAUUGAUCCCUUUAUGGAAAUCCUCGCGCCUCUCGUCAGCUGGCGGGUGGGGUGGGUUGGUGUGGGGUCCCAUGGAGCAGAGACUCAGUGUCCUGAUGAAAGAAUCUUAAGCUGAGCUAAUGAUGCGGAUUUAGAGUCUUGUAUUAAUAGCUACAUUAAAUAUAGAUUGGUUGGGUCUAUCAAAUAACAACACUAUUACACAAGAUUAAUCUGAGUACUCAUAAUAAUGCAGUUCUAAAUGUCAGGUUGCAGUUUAAAAUGAUGGCUGUAAAGCAUAUCUAAACAUUGAGGGCAGCAGUAGCUCAGGAGGGAGAGCGGUCGUCCAAUAAUUGUAAAGUUGGCGGUUCGAUUCCUCCCCUAUCCCAGGACUGUCCAUUGUUCCCUUGGGCAAGACACUCAACCCACCUUGCUCUCAGUGUGUGUCCUCCUCUGGUGCAUGAUUGUGAGUGUUGUGUGGUGGUGUUCGAAGCGGCCACAGGCGCAAACUGGCAGCCACGUUUCCAUCAGUCUGCUACUACUAAAGUAGUUUACCACAACCAAGGUGUGACUGUGUGAGCGAAUGAAUGAUGUAUCCAUUAAAAGCGCUUUGAGGGUGUCUGAUAAAGCGCUAUAUGAAAUCUGAUGCAUUGUUUGGUCUAAAUCUGAAAAAAAAAAAGUGUUUAAAAAAAAUCUGGUGAUCCAAUGUACAAAGCCAAAACAAAUUAUACAUCACUUUUUUAAUUGUCUUGAAACUUUAGAGUAAUUUUUUUAUGUUAUUCCAUCAAAGGUUAAGAAAAUCUUGGGAAGUCUGUGUUCUAAAAGUACAGUGGAAAGGUGGCACUACAUUAAAAACAGAUGUGAAUCACUGCAUGAGCUCUGAAACAUCUUCUGUGAACUUUAUUCUCUGCUGUGUCCACAAAUACAGGUAAAAGUCAACUGUGUGAACCAUAUAUUAACGUGAUUUCAGUUCAAACACACAUAAGGUGGACUAGAAUCAUUUAGAAAUGAACAGUCUUUUUGGAAAUCAUGGACACUGCAUCCUCCACACUUACAGUGCAGAGUUUAAAAGUCAUCAUAUGUGAUGGCACAGAGAUGCGUGAGAGCCAGGCUCACACAUCUGGAGAGGCGUCAUGAAUUCUGAACAAUAAAUUCAGGUUGUUGAGCCAUUGUGCUUCCACCAAGACACCUCUUUCAGGGAAUAAGUCAAUUUAUCGAUAUUUUCCAUAGGUGUUGCCAUAAUCAGAGCACAGACAGUGUGGAGCAGUUUCUCUUUGAUAUAGAAUAACACAGAUAUGACAGCUUUUUUUUAAUAAUAUAGUUUAAAAGCAUGUUCACAAAGAAGAAAAUUGUGGCUGUUUGCUUGUCCGAGCUCUUUUAUAUAGAUCCUGGUUAUAAUUUGGAUGAUAUUUUUGCUUCUCCAUGUGGCAGAUCAAUUUUCUCUGCUUUUCUGUUUCUGAAACUGUCAAAAAUAAGCCUUUUGUGCAAGUCUGAUUUGGAUCCUGAAAGCGUCAUCAGUUUUUUGCAGCAUACUUUCGCUAAGUUUCGUGAAAGUCAAGGCAGUAGUUUUCUUGAAUCCCGUUCAUAAAUAUACACACACAAAUCUAAAAACAGUGUUUUUGCAGAGGGAAUAAGAAAUGUAAUCCAACAGUACAACACAAUAGUAAUAUCAAAGUGUAAAGGAAGCUCAGGGUAGGAUUUGUCCGAUGUGUGGCAAACAAGAAAGAGAGUGAGUGUGUGUUUGACAGGGACAUGGGGGAAGAGAGAGAGCUCACAGUGAGAGGCAGAGCGAGAGAGAGACAUACAAACAGCAUGUUGAAUCGGACCACCAGCUCCAGCCUUGAGCUUAAAUCUGAGUGCUGACUUUAUCCCUCCUCAGGGGCUGGAUGUGAAACACUCAGGGGAAUAGACGAUGUCGUUGUGUCCAAUGGUCUGAGGCAUGGACUAAAAAAAGAUUAACAUUUCUAUCCCGCCAGGGCAAACAGACUCACAGACUCAAAGUCAAUGGGCUGGUUGACCCAUUGACUGUGCGGAGUCUCCCAAAUGCAUCCUAGAUAAAUAAUAAAAAAAGGAUUUCUCCCCUUUGUAGAUGCUCUCUGUGCAUUUGCAUAUUAAUUUAUAUGUUAGUGCAUGGUUCUGCAUAGCGGUAAUCCAGGGAUUUUCUCCAAGGCGGGCCUGGCUUAGUGUGACCAUCAGUUUCAUGCUGCUUUCUAGUAUCUCUUCACAUCUACUGUAUUCCAGCCAAAACAGAACAGAACAAACACAGAGACGCAGAGCGAGCCCUGAUACAAGCGUCUCUCAGCACAGGUGCGCACUCACACACCUGCAGAUGCUCUCACAAUAGCAAAAGUAUGUGUUUGUCCUUGUUGUACCUCAGCUGCUGCCUCCAUUAACAGUAUGUGUUGUUGUCGUAGUGUUCCUUAAGUAAAGGUCUCUUACAUCUACUCUGAUGUCUCGUAAUUACUGAGACAUUCAUUCCUUUCUACGUCGGUGCUGGGAGGACAAAAAUGAGAAAAAUCUCAGUUCUUUGCUAUUAUGUAGUGAAUGAGUGGCUUUAUUUUGUAUAAUUGUAUAAGUACAAUUUUAAUGUGAAGAAUUUGCACAUUUAACUUGGAAUUUCCAUACUUUUCCAUACCCUAUUUUUUAGUAUUAUCUUUGGAAAUACCUACUUUUCCAUUUUAGAAAACAGUAUUUUAGAACUGUGGUAAUAGUAUGGAAACAUAAAUAUUUUUCCAUACUUUAUUUUUCAUUUUCCAUACUUUUUAAAACCUGGAAAUUGAUCUUUUUUUCCAUACUUGCUCAGGAAACCCGAUUUAAACAAGACUCUGUGAUGUAAAUGCUUUAAAGCUCCUCUGUGUGGAAGUUUAAGUAUGUUCUCAUCUUGGCAACCCCUGUUGUACCUCUAUUUGCUUCAUAUACUUUCUCGUUAGAAGUGUUUUCAAACCAUAAAAUUGUCAUUUGUCUAUUUUGAAAUGCAAAUAUAGAAACUCUCAAAGAGCCUUUGCCUACCAUCUAUCCGUCACCCACCCUUGCAGUUGUACUUUAAAAAGCUGAUCAAUUUUAAUACUCAUGGUUUUGUCUCUUUUAUGUGUCAUUUAAAGGCACUAAUAUAAAUGUGAGUCUGUUUCAUUCCCAGUUGAAAAUCCUCACUGGAGCUUUAAUCUCAUUAGUUUAUUAGCAGACUCAGCCAGCCUCUCCCAUGCUUACCUUGAACUCUGUUGUUGUGUUUUACACCAUUGCAGUCCAUCGCUUCAUGCGUAAAUAGCUGGACCUAUCAUCAUUAUCAUUGCCAUUAUUAUUGUUAUUUUACAUUCUCUGUGCCAGUGAGAGAAAAGAGAAGGAUAUGCUUUAACACCAGUGUGUUAGCAACACUGUGGGUGGCCGAGUUGGAUGCCCUUAGAGCCUGUCUGAUAUAGAAUCAGAUUACCCUUUUCUUAUCUCAUUAAGCAUGCCAGACCAUUUGACACAGACACAGUCUGGUUGCACCUCAGGAGCUAUAUAGGGCAACACCAGGUUUCCAGUUUUUUAGUUUGACUCCAA
rnacentral:lncRNA from 1 species